UAAGCAUUUGGAAACCCCCCCUCCCCCCUCAGCUGAUUACAUAAUAUGUGAACGACCCCUUACCAUUGAAACUUUUCAAAUAUAAGGCAAAUAAAGUUAAAUAGUUGGAGACAACUUUUUCAAGUUUUGAAAGCUAUUCAGCAUUCGGUGAAAGUAGCUUUUUUGUUUAUUUGAUAUUAUACCUUAUUAAUAAUCACAGUGUCGGGAUGAGAUGCAAGUUUUAAAAAGUGGCGCCUAAAGAUGCAUGCUUUGUGUUCCAUUGAUACUAUCAAAGCCGGACAUAGAGAAUCCUCUUGUAUGACUAUGAGAAGAUUUAUAAAAACCGUUGAGUGUUUAGGGAGAGUUCACAUAAUUCGUCAGCAUUCUUGGGAACAAAGUUCGAAAAGUUUUCCGCACCUUAUAGAUAAUUUUUAACCACGUAAAAAUUACUGGAGUCUGAAAAUUGCCAAUUAUUUGAUAUUGCUGACGUAAUAUGUGGAUAAUUCUUGUUGCAGUGUGGUAUAUUCGUUAUGCUUAUGUAAUGUUAUAUGCUAAAUAAACUUGUGAAAUAACUUAUAUUUAUGAGAUUAAA